UGGGGAAUAUUGCACAAUGGAGGAAACUCUGAUGCAGCAACGCCGCGUGAGGGAAGAAGGUCUUCGGAUUGUAAACCUUAGUAGUCAGGGACGAAAGGAAUGACGGUACCUGAAGAGUAAGCUCCGGCUAACUACGUGCCAGCAGCCGCGGUAAUACGUAGGGAGCGAGCGUUGUCCGGAUUCACUGGGUGUAAAGGGCGCGUAGGCGGGAUAGCAAGUCAGUGGUGAAAUCUUGCAGCUUAACUGCAAAACUGCCGUUGAUACUGCUGUUCUUGAGUGUGGAAGAGAGAGGCGGAAUUCCAGGUGUAGUAGUGAAAUACGUGGAUAUCUGGAAGAACACCAAUUGCGAAGGCUGCUUCUUGGUCCAUAACUGACGCUGAGGCGCGAAAGCGUGGGGAGCAAACA
rnacentral:rRNA from 1 species